rnacentral:rRNA from 1 species
AAAGAUUAAGCCAUGCAUGUCUAAGUAUCAACGAUCUAAUCGUGAAACCGCGAAUGGCUCAUUAUAACAGCUAUAAUUUACUUGAUCUUGACACUAUCCUACUUGGAUAACUGUGGUAAUUCUAGAGCUAAUACAUGCAUUAAAGCUCUGACCUCACGGGAAGAGUGCACUUAUUAGAACAAAACCAAGCGGCUUCGGCUGUUUUCGGUUGACUCAUAGUAACUGAGCUGAUCGCACGGUCUUGCACCGGCGACGUGUCUUUCAAGUAUCUGCCGUAUCAACUUUCGAUGGUAGUGUAUCUGACUACCAUGGUGAUCACGCGUAACGGAGAAUAAGGGUUCGGCUCCGGAGAGUUCGCCUGGGAAAUCGCGAACACAUCUAAGGAAGGCAGCAGGCGCGAAAAUUACCCACUCUCAGCACGAGGAGGUAGUGACGAAAAAUAACGAGACCGUUCUCUUAUGAGGCCGGUCAUCGGAAUGGGUACAAUUUAAACCCUUUAACGAGUAUCUAUGGGAGGGCAAGUCUGGUGCCAGCAGCCGCGGUAAUUCCAGCUCUCAAAGUGCAUAGAAUUAUUGCUGCGGUUAAAAAGCUCGUAGUUGGAUCUGUGCCAUAGGACGUGGUCCACCUUCUGGGUGCGUACUAUGUUCCUAGGCUUUUUGCUGGUUUUCCCGUCGUAGCCUUCAUUGGUUGCGGCGGGUGGCUGGCGAGUUUACUUUGAGAAAAUCUGAGUGCUCAACACAGGCGUAUCGCUUGAAUGAUUGUGCAUGGAAUAAUAGAAAAGGAUUUCGGUCCUCUUUUAUUGGUUUUGUGGACUGAGAUAAUGGUUAACAGGGGACCAACGGGGGGCAUUCGUAUCGCUGCGUGAGAGGUGAAAUUCUUGGACCGUAGCGAGACGCCCUACUGCGAAAGCAUUUGCCAAGAAUG